UACGUAGGGUGCAAGCGUUAAUCGGAAUUACUGGGCGUAAAGCGUGCGCAGGCGGUUUUGUAAGUCUGACGUGAAAUCCCCGGGCUUAACCUGGGAAUUGCGUUGGAGACUGCAAGGCUGGAGUCUGGCAGAGGGGGGUAGAAUUCCACGUGUAGCAGUGAAAUGCGUAGAUAUGUGGAGGAAUACCGAUGGCGAAGGCAGCCCCCUGGGAUAACACUGACGCUCAUGCACGAAAGCGUGGGGAGCAAACAGG
rnacentral:rRNA from 1 species